GGAAGAAGAAAAAGCCGAUAAAAAAACAAAAAUAACGUGGUAAAAAGCAAAGAAAAGAGAAAAUGGAAAAGAUGGGAGAAAUCAAAAACCGGAAAAGCCAUGGAUGAGACCAAUCCCUUGCAAAACUCUAGCUUCCAAUCGCCAGAGCUUUAUAUUAAUGAAAAAAAAGUAUUUAUUAAAUUAAUCAAUGGAACAUUUAUAAUGAAAAAAAGAAAUAUAUCAUUUAUUAGGAGAAAUUAGAGCAACAAUAAUUAAUAAAACACUGUUUAAUAUCUAAGUUGAACAAACCACCCCAUAGAUUUAUCUCCCUCCCAGAUAAAUCUGGACUGCUCUUUAACUUGCCUAAGUUAUCCGAACUUUGCUUUAUAAUCUAGAUAUAAUCUGUGAUGGUCAAUUGCCUGAAUCUCUACAAAGACAAAAUCAGGGUUUAAUCUUGACGGAGAGAAUGAGCAGUCACGGAGCCUUGCCAGAUUUGCAAGGUUGCUCUUUUGCCACAGAAGAAGAAACAGAAGUAAUAACGAAAGAAGAAGCAGAACUGAUCCAUAGAUUCCUCCGAACUCGUAAUGAUAGGAUAAACAGAGAAGCAGCAAGAAUGGGCCAACUUUUAACUGAUGAACAAACUUCUAAAAGUGAACUUGUUCAAAGAAUUGGAUUCCCAGCUGUUAAACACAAAGUGGAUUGUUCGUCUCUCAACUACAAUUAUACCAAAGGCGUGACUGAGACAACAGCCAGUACCAGGCCGGCCCUGAGAUUUUGCUGCCCCGAGGAAAAAAUAAAAUUGUUGCCCCAUGGACAGUUCGUCGCUGUUAACCGAUACGUUAAUUUCUAACCCAUCUGGCGAUGAUGAUCAAGUUUCAGUUCCUUAUGAGAUGAUUUAAAUGAUACGAACAAGACUUUAUACACCAUGGGGAUUAUCUGCAGAUCGCUUCAAGAAACGCAUCAAAAUCUUACUUGCACAUGGUGGACAACUCCUACAUUGGCAAUUACGAUGGGGUUUCUCGGCUUAUGGAGAGAGUGGAAGCGACCUUCAUCAAGCACUUUACGAACGCGAAUCGUAGGAAAGGCAUAAGAAUUGUGAGACCAGCAGUAAAGAGAGAAAGGCAUAGAACUACGUUUUCUUUGGGUUUCUUUGCUGGAUGUGCAUUAGCGCUCUUGGCAUCUCUUAUAUCAGUUGUACGUGCUCGCAACAUAUUAGGAUCACCAGGAAGUACUCUAUAUAUGGAAUCGCUAUUUCCCCUUUAUAGCUUCUUUGGGUUUGUUGUCCUUCAUAUGCUCAUGUAUGCAAUUGAUGUUUACGCUUGGAGACGUUACCGAGUAAAUUAUCCAUUUAUAUUUGGAUUGAAGCAAAGAACUGAAUGGACUACGGGGAAGUCUUCCUCAUAAGCACAGUUCUAGCAACACUAGCGUUGUCAAUCGUACUCAUGAACUUAGACAUGGAAAUGGACAAGCAUACCAAAGAUUUUCAGAUCCUAACUGAGUUGCUCCCUCUUAUGUUGCUUACUUUUGUGGUUCUCAUUAUAGUUUGCCCCUUCAACAUUGCAUACCGCUCAAAUCGAUAUUUCUUACUUGUGUGUUUGUUCCAUUGUGUUUGUGCUCCUUUUUACAAGGUUCUCCUAGCAGAUUUUUUCUUGGCAGACCAGUUAACUAGCCAGGUCGAAGCAUUAAGAAGUAUUAAACACUACAGCUGCUACUAUGGUGGAGGAGGUUUUAUAUCCAGGGAUAGCACUUGCAAAAAUUCAGAUCUUCUUAAAAUUUUCAAUUUCAUCAUACCCUCAAUACCAUAUGCAUUCCGUGUAUUUCAGUGUCUUCGACGUUUAAUUGAGGAGAAAAACUCAGUGGAAGGAUAUAACGCAUUAAAGUACUUCUCAACCAUAGUUGGUGAAGCCAUUAGAACAGCUUAUAGACUGAAUAACUCAAUGACAUGGUUCAUACUCGCAUUGGUCAGUUCAGUAAUUUCGGCUGUUGUCAGCACUUACUGGGAUAUAGUUAUGGACUGGGGACUCUUCCAGAAGGACCCUAAGAACCGUUUUUUGCGAGAAACUUCUUGUCCCACAACAAAGUGUAUACUUUGGAGCCAUUGUAUUGAACAUAUUGCUUCGAUUUGCCUGGUUGCAAACUAUAUUCAACUUUAAACUUCCUUUUCUACAUAUGCAAGCUAUGAUCACCAUCUUUGCUUGUUUAGAGAUCAUUCGUCGUGGGAUAUGGAAUUUCUUCAGGUUGGAGAAUGAGCAUUUAAACAAUGUGGGUAAGUAUAGGGCAUUCAAAUCAGUACCACUGCCUUUCAACCAUGAUGAAGAUGAUGAAGAUAAAGAUGAGUAAAAUUGUACUAUCAAACAAUGGCCGGAAAACAUGAUUGACCAUGGGUUUGACCGGUGAGCAAAGCAGAAUUUCUGUGACAUUAAAAGUUUCGGGAGCUAGAAUAGUACCUAUCUCAGAGUGCUUUUGCACGACUUGUGUAUUUACACCAAUUAAGAAAAAAACAUUUUGAAACAUUUUUUUUUUCUGUAAAUAACUGUAAUAUUUUUUUUUUUAAAUGCCAGGUUAUUAAUAGCCA